CUAGUGCAGUGCUGCCACCAUGUGGUGAGUGCGCAUAUGUGAACAAGUGCAUCUUCAUAAUAAAGGCAUGCUGAUCAUGUUUAAAAGGAACCAGGGAAGAAAAAUAACACCUUCUUUUUUCUUUUUCAGAAUAUCUGAGCAAGUUUCCCAUGGAUUCGUGAAGUCUUUUGUCACUUUAUGCCGUCAGUCAAAGCACAUGUACAUAUUCCAUUGCAGUGCUUUUCUCCAUUAAGGCCAGAGGAGGGCAGUGCUGAUCACAGGAAGCCUUCUCCGGAGGACGAGAUCUGGGGGUUUAUCUUCAAACGCAGAAUAACACGAUGCUGUGUCAGCAGUCUGGUCUGAAACAUGUCAUGAAUCCGAGGGGACGGAGAUGUUGUCCAACCUAUGGAAGGAAAACAGAGAGGGAGAAAAUGAAAGAGAAAGAGAGGGCAUCGUGCUUCUCGCAAGCUGACAAUUCCAGCGACUCUGUCAGACAGCAGUUGACUGCUACUCUGCUAUUCCUGUUCGAGGGCUGAACCCACUCUGCCUUGUUGGCACAGAUAUUUUUAGCCCUGGCGUUUGGCAGAGAGACCAGCACUAAGAGUGAUGGGGCCACACAGGCCUCCAACGGCAAAAGGGCAGCAGUAGGAAGAAGAGGGCGGAGGCGGGCAAGGUCACAUGAGGCCACUGGAGACGAGAGAGUGGAGGAUGAGGUGAUGAGAUCUGGUGAUUGAGUGGCUCUGGACAGACUGUUGGUCAUAUGCUGUGGGCAAUGAAGGAACGAAUCACCCCGAGGAUGUCUAAUAUACCUGGAGACUGGAGCUGUCCAUUAGCAUUCCCAUUUACCUCCACUGGCACAUUAGCCCUGGAGGUACAUGGCCAAAUCAAGCCAUCUUUGCUACAUGCGGACACUGUUUUCAUUUCAGUCAACCACUCUGAAUUCUACAUAUAGCCCCUUUAACUUGAUGAAAAGUUACAGAAUAGAAUUUUACAUUGUUACAAAUAAAUGCUGUUCUUUUGAACUUUCUAUUUACUUUUCAACAUUGAUAAUAAGAUAUAUUUCUUAGGGCCCUAUCAUACACCCAGUGCAAUGCGACGCCUGGCGCGCCACAAGUGUUUCUUGCUAGUUUCAGCCCGACGCAUUUAUCAUUUUCACGU